rnacentral:rRNA from 1 species
AGGAUUAACGCUGGCGGCGUGCCUGACACAUGCAAGUCGAACGAGGCCGCAAGGCCGAGUGGCGGACGGGUGAGUAACACGUGACCAACCAACCUCGAAGUUGGGAAUAGCUCUGCGAAAGUAGGGGUAAUACCGAAUGUGGCCCAGGGCGGGCAUCCGCCUUGGUCUAAAGAUUCAUCGCUUCGAGACGGGGUCGCGGCCUAUUAGCUUGUUGGUGAGGUAACGGCUCACCAAGGCGAUGAUGGGUAGCUGGUCUGAGAGGACGACCAGCCACACUGGGACUGAGACACGGCCCAGACUCCUACGGGAGGCAGCAGUGAGGAAUCUUCCGCAAUGGGCGAAAGCCUGACGGAGCAACGCCGCGUGUGGGAUGGAAGACUCUAGGGUUGUAAACCACUGUCGGAGGGGACGAUCGUGACGGUACCCUCCAAGAAAGCCCCGGCUAACUACGUGCCAGCAGCCGC